rnacentral:rRNA from 1 species
AUGUGGCCGCGCGGCUUCCUCUUGCGUCUUCUCCUCCGCGUGACCGCUGGCGCCACUGCCCGCCACGCCUGCGCGCGCGUCCACCCGCUCCUCGUGAAGUCCGGCCACGCUUCCGACACUCGCCUCGCCACCGCGCUCGCCGACGCCUAUGCCAAGUCCGGCCUCGUCACGCACGCGCGCAGGGUGUUCGACGAAACGCCGCACAGGGACCUCGUGCUCUGGAACGUCAUGGUCUCCUGCUACUCCUCCCAUGGUCUGCUCCUCGACUCAUGGGCCCUCUUCGCCUCCAUGCGGAGGAGCUCCGGCCUCUCCGGCGACGGCUUCACCUUCAGUGCCUUACUGAGCGCCCGCGCUCCUCCUUCUUCCUGUAGCCAGUACCUGGGGCUCCUGGCGCACGGCCUUGUUCUCAGGCUGGGCCUCCAGCUGGACCUUGUCGUCGCCACCGCGCUCCUCGACAUGUAUGCAAAGUGCGGCCUGGUCGCUGAUGCUCGCCGGGUGUUUGAUGCCAUGCUACUAAGGAACUCUGUAUCCUGGAAUGCCAUCAUUGUCUGCUAUGGCCACCAUGAUGGAGGCAAGGAAGCACUGCAGAUUUUCGCGUCCAUGCUCAGGAAUGAUGAUGGGCGCUGUUGUCGGCCUGACGAGCUCACGCUUGCCAGUUUGCUUAGUUCCUGUGCCAACAUGGCAGCUGCCUAUGAGGCUACCCAGCUUCAUGCUUAUGCCCUCAAAAGGGGCUUACAAGGAUUUCUGCAAGUAGCCAACGCUCUGGUCAUGGCCUAUGGUAAGAAUGGUUUUCUUCAGCAAGCAACACAGACAUUUGCUACCAUCCAUAACCCAGACAUAGUUUCAUGGUCAUCCAUGGUUUCAUCUUUCGCCUACCUUGGGUGUGCCAAGAAUGCAAUCCAUGUGUUUGAAAGAAUGCUCCAACAAGGCGUGCGGCCUGACGGCAUUGCGUUUCUUGGAGUUCUUUCUGCCUGCAGCCAUGCUGGACUCAUUCAACAUGGCCUAAAGUAUUUUCUUCUAAUGACGACGGAUUACCAAAUUGAUCCAUGGCCGCAGCAUCUUGCUUGUCUGGUUGAUCUCCUAGGGAGAGCUGGCAGGGUUCAGGAUGCCUACAACAUUUUACUCAACAUCUCCUGCCAAACAAACAGUGAUGUAAUUGGAGCUUUCCUUGCUGCCUGCAAGACACGAGGCAACAUUGAGUUGGCAAAGUGGGCUGCUGAUAGGCUACUCAGUCUGGAGCCAAACGAGCCAGCAAAUUACCUGCUUAUAUCUAAUGCUUAUGCUGCUGCAGGAGCUUGGAGUGAGCUUGCAAAGGUAAGAAGUCUUAUGAGAAACGUGUGCAGCAACAAGGUGCCUGGUUGUAGCUGGAUAGAAAUAGGUGGAAAGGUUCAGACAUUUGUCUCCAAUGAUAUUUUGCUCCAACAAUCAACAAAUAUGCGACAAAUGAUGGAAAUUCUUGUUACAUUCAUGGAAAAAGAGAGCAAUGACGAUACUCUUUGUAAGGAUUCAGAUUUUAUUUCAGAACGGUUUUGA